CCUACGGGAGGCAGCAGUGAGGAAUAUUGGUCAAUGGACGCAAGUCUGAACCAGCCAUGCCGCGUGCAGGAAGACGGCUCUAUGAGUUGUAAACUGCUUUUGUACGAGGGUAAACGCAGAUACGUGUAUCUGUCUGAAAGUAUCGUACGAAUAAGGAUCGGCUAACUCCGUGCCAGCAGCCGCGGUAAUACGGAGGAUUCAAGCGUUAUCCGGAUUUAUUGGGUUUAAAGGGUGCGUAGGCGGUCUGAUAAGUUAGAGGUGAAAUCCCGAGGCUCAACUUCGGAAUUGCCUCUGAUACUGUGCGGCUAGAGAGUAGUUGCGGUAGGCGGAAUGUAUGGUGUAGCGGUGAAAUGCUUAGAGAUCAUACAGAACACCGAUUGCGAAGGCAGCUUACCAAGCUACUUCUGGCGUUGAGGCACGAAAGCGUGGGGAGCAAACAGGAUUAGAUACCCUAGUAGUC
rnacentral:rRNA from 1 species